rnacentral:rRNA from 1 species
GACGAACGCUGGCGGCGUGCUUAACACAUGCAAGUCGAACGGAAAGGCCUCUUUCGGGGGGUACUCGAGUGGCGAACGGGUGAGUAACACGUGAGUAACCUGCCCUUGACUUUGGGAUAACUUCAGGAAACUGGGGCUAAUCCCGGAUAGGAGCUCCUUCUGCAUGGUGGGGGUUGGAAAGUUUCGGCGGUUGGGGAUGGACUCGCGGCUUAUCAGCUUGUUGGUGGGGUAGUGGCUUACCAAGGCUUUGACGGGUAGCCGGCCUGGGAGGGUGACCGGCCACAUUGGGACUGAGAUACGGCCCAGACUCCUACGGGAGGCAGCAGUGGGGAAGAUUGCACAAGGGGUGGAAGCCUGAUGCAGCAACGCCGGGUGCGGGAUGACGGCCUUCGGGUUGGAAACCGCUUUCGCUCAUGACGAAGCUUUGUGUGACGGUAGUGGGUAAAGAAGCACCGGCUAACUACGUG